GAGCAAAAUGAAGGGGCUUAAGAUUCCGAAGAAGGGUGAGAUGAGUUCCCUGUCUAGAAACAUGAAUGCACAGCACAUGAGCAAAGUCCUCCCUCCACAGAUGCUGAAGCAGAUUGGUGGCAUGGGUGGUUUGCAAAACUUAAUGAAGCAAAUGGGAUCAGCUAAAGACAUGAUGGGCAUGUUUGGAGGCGGGGACAAGUAAACGUGUGAUUGCCAACAACUACAUGAAAUGAAUUCCCAUGACAAUAACCUAGGUCUGUCAGGAGGAUGGUAAGCUGCGUGGAGUGUUUAAUAUAUGCAAGUCGAUGCUUCAACAAAACUUUGUGGAUACUUGUUCUUAAAGGAUCAAUGCAUUUGAUUCAAUUCUCAGAUCCCCCCUCCCCUGCUGGUACAGACUACAGAGGCCGUCUUGUAGCAAUAACUGGAUUUAUCUUUUUUCUUUGGGCACCAAAAAAUGUGGAAAAAAAGGGUUUGAGGUCAUGAAGCUGUGAAAAAAAAGUUGGUUUUACGUCAUUAAGUACAAAAAUUACGUAAUUCACCGUUAUAGCAGAAAUGUUGCUGAGAAUAUUGCAUUUGACACUUAAAAUUUGCCUGCGAUCUAUGCACGACUUCUUCGCACAUUAUAUGUUGGUUUAAUCACUAAUGGGUGACUAGGGCAUCUUUCCUGUCCUGUGAACAUGGUCGAAUGCAAUCUGCCAAGACUGAGAAGCAGUGACUAAAAGUAAUGGACGCCAUGUACCUCCGGAUUGCUCGAGACCUUAUAUGUAUCGCGCAAGCGGCUGCCCAAAAGAAUUGUUACAAUGGCGGCUCUGUUAUAUUCACGGUCAAUUCUCAAGCAGGUUAUCGACACUUUGCAGUAAAAAAGCUCCUGUACGGAAAAGUAUAAUCUAUUAAUGUUUCUUGGGUCGGCAAUGACCUAUGAGCAAGCCCUCCGAGUCGGUGUCCCCUAGUUAGGUGUAGUUUGAUUGUUCUUGGAAAGUGGUCUGGCUUUCUUAACGAAUGGCUUCAAUCAGUCGAAUGUACCUACAACUAUACUCGUCGAAAUCAAAGAACUUUGGGCCCAAAAAUUUGAACUUGUUUCGACUAGUUUCAUAAUGAUUUCUGAAAAUUUAAUGGACAGUGAAAAAGCCCUCAUGCUAGAAGAUCUGUUAUCAUCUUCAUGCACAAGUCUUAUGCGGUUAUGCCCUUGUUUGACUUAAAAGUGAGUGUUCUGACGAUGCCGGCGUAGUCAUGAGGAUGAUCGAAGGACAGGAGGCAACAACAGGGCAUAUUUUAGCUUGUUAUAAAUGAUCAAAUAGGGAAAACAUGAAAGCAGAAAAGGUAGAAUAAUCCAUGUAUCUUCAAAUAUUUUCUACGCUCCAGAUUCCUUAUUUCUCAAUGCAUCCCGAAACACAUAUCAGCAGGCAAAUUGCCCUGUGAUCUAUUUCUGACAAAAGGCAAACUUCGUAAUUAAAUACACAAAUAUAGUAAAUGGAGUACAAAAUGUGAUAUAGGGGUGUUCCUAAUGAUAUAUUCCUGACAAAAUGUAAACUUGGUAAAUACACAAAUACAGUAUCAAACUUACUAAAUUCACUACACAAAUUCAGUAUAUGAUGCAAGGGGAUGUCUCUAUUCUUCUUAGGGAGAUUACAGACAAGCAAAAUUCCCUAAAUUUAGAGAAAAGGUGAAUCAUAAAGACACAGGAUGAGAAAAACCAGAGAACUCAUAGGGAAGACGGUAUAGUAACCUAGGUUUUAACAUCAUCACCGAUGAAUUCUCCUCUUGCAUCCCAAGGACGAUUUUCAAAAGACUUUCCAAGGAUGCUGCGCUUCUCAUUUACAGACCCAUCUUCGCAGCGAUAUUCUGGAAAGUAAUCCAAAAACCCUUUACUUCCUAGUUCAUCAAGUCCAUUGAAGAGGAAGUCUCUAACCAAGUCCUAUAGAGCAGAUGUGAAUUAAGAACUGCGUCAGCAAUUAGUUGCAAAUAAUGGAUAACAGAUCCAGUAAGUUGAGAGUGAUACCUGUGCAUGCCUUUCUCCAAUCAACCUUUUAAGAAUUCCAUGGCCGGGAUCCUGCUUCCAGAAUUUACAUUAGCCAAAUAUGCUGGGCCAGAAAUGAGAGAAGUUUGAAAAGGUGCCAAAUAUUUAUCUGCUCAAACAUUGUAAUUAUGCAAUUGCACUGCAUAAAUGAUACUGUAAUUAAAGAAUUUCACUAUAGAUAUCUACCUGAAGGCACCAAUAUGCCUUGUCAGGUGAGAGUCCAAGACAAAGUAUGAGUUUGGAUAGGACCCUAAUGAUAGCAAUUCUAGCUACCAAGUUGAUUCUUUUCAGCCCUUUUAUUUUCAAAAACUGGGUAACCAGAAGUUUAUCCUGCCUGAAAUCUAAAAUCCCUCUUCAAGAUGCUAGUUGUUCGAACAACGUUUUGCAGUUGAGAGCAUCUAUUCAUUUUAUUCCAAAUGAAUCGCGAGGCUAAUUAAAAUAACAUAGAAAACAAGUAUUUUUCUUUCUUUCACCUCAAGGAACCAAAUUUCCUUUGUUUUACCUCAUCAUAAUCUGGAUGUUCAAAAUAUUAGGGGUCAAGGGUAUGAUGGUGCUAGUAAUAUGCGUGGAGAGUGAAAUGGUUUUCAAGCUUUAUUCAUUAAUGAUUGCCCUUAUGCAUAUUAUGUACAUUGCUUAGCUCAUCAAUUAUAAUUGGCUCUUAUUGCUGCAGCUAGAGAAAUAUCUGAUGUUCACACUUUCUUUCAGAAUUUGAUUUUUAUUAUUAACAUUGUUAGUGCUUCUUGUAAGCGUAAUGAUGAAUUACGGGCUUUUCAAGCAGCUACAAUUGAAUAUUUAGUUGAUAUUUGUGAGAUUGAAACGGGUAAAAGAGUUAAUCAAGUAGGUGGUUUGCAACGACCUGAAGAUAGCAGAUGGAGUUUGCACUUCAAAUCAAUUUGCAGUUUGAUAAAAAUGUAUGGGGCAACUUGCUUGGUUUUUGAAAACAUUGCUUUAAAUGGAUCUACUUAUUCUCAACGUGGUGAUGCGGCCUUUUCAUUUAAGUUGCUAAUGUCAUUUGAUUUUGCAUUCAUCUUGCAUAUAAUGAAGGAUGUUAUGGGAAUUACUGAUAUGCUUUGCCAAGCUCUGCAACAAAAAUCUCAAGACAUUUUAAAUGCUAUGCAUUUAGUGACUACCACAAAGACUUUAAUUCAGAAGUUAAGAGAUGAUGGUUGGAAAACUCUUUUAGAAGAAGUGACAUCAUUUUGUAAGCAUCAAGACAUUGAAGUUCCUGAUAUGGAUGCUUGUUUUUCUAGUGUGGGACGAUCUCGCCGUAAACAAAAAUUAGUAACAGUUGAACAUCACUACCGAGUUGAUAUAUUUACAGCUAUCAUUGAUCAACAAUUGCAAGAGCUAAAUAAUAGAUUCAAUGAGCAGGCAAUCGAGCUUCUUAAGUUGAGCACAACUUUAGAUCCUAGAAAUAGCUAUAAAUUAUUCAAUGUUGAAGAUAUAUGCUUACUUGUUGACAAGUUUUAUCCUCAUGAUUUUUCUGACCAAGAAAAAAUUCAUUUGAGACUUCAGUUGCAGCAUUAUGAGCUUGAUGUACCCAAUCAUCCAAAGUUAAAGAGCAUGUCAUCGAUUGCUGAUUUAUGUAAAGGACUGGUUAAAACAGGAAAAUCAACAAUUUAUCCACUAGUUGACAGGUUGAUUCGGCUUAUUUUGACUCUUCCUGUUUCGACAGCAACUACUGAACGAGCUUUCUCAGCGAUAAAGAUUGUUAAAACAAGACUUCGUAGUCGGAUGGAGGAUGAUUUUCUUGCAAAUUAUUUGAUUGUCUAUAUAGAAAAAGAAAUUGCUGAAAGAUUCACAAUUGAUAUGAUAAUCGAUGAUUUCUAUUAUAUGAAAGAACGACGAGCACAAUUAAAAUAAAUAUGUAAGAAUCAUUCUUUAUUAUUUUUUACUUUAUUUCAAAGUUUAUCAAACAUAAAUAAUGCUUCGCUUUAGCUAAUGUUUCUUUUGUACUUUGUAUGUUUAUAUUUGAUAGGUAUAAAGACCAACAACAUUAAAGUGAUGGAUACAUCAUGAAUAUGGAAUUAACUUCAUUGCUUUGACUGAAUUCGGUAUUGCUCCAAAUCUUUUACCUUAUACAAAGGUCAUUAUAUGUUUGUAAUAAGUUAUUUGAAUAAAACUAAAUAAUGCCGGUUUUUUUUUACAACUCAUGUAUAAUAAAUUAAAACAAAUAUUAUAUAUUGUUAUAUUAUUUUUAGCCACCUCUAACAAAUAAUCCUAGCUCUGCCCCUGCCUCCAUCCUUUCUAUUCAAGUGUUUAUGUUUUCAAAUGUUUAUAGUAGUGCUUUUAAUUUUAAAAGCUAACAAAUAUCCAAUUUGUAAUCCUAUGGAGGUCGUAUUUGACCAAGUUUGGUAAAAUUAGUAACAUGAAAUGAAAAUAAUAUUAAAAAAUGCAUGAAAAGAAGAUGAAAAAAAAAAAAAGGUUUCGAAAUAGAUUGCUAUGAAUUCUUGUAUGGAUUUUUUUGACAAAUGAGAUCAAAGAUUUUAUUGAGAAAUCGGUACACAUCUAUAAAACUAUACCAAAAAAAUCCAGCUUUUUUGUAUUUAAAAUUAUCAAUUUUGUAAAAAUAAUUAUUUUCUCACCUUUUAAAAUUAGAGGUGCAGAUUUGUCUGGCUUGCGAUAAAGUGGACAAAACUGAGCUUAUAUGAGUUUUUGUACCUUUUUUUUAUUAUUUGGGCAAAUUACAUUAUCACUCCAUGGUUCGAGCACGGUAACACUUUUCAUCAGUGAAAAUUAGAUGUGAGUGAAAAUAUUAAAAAAUUGAUUAAAUUGAGAAAAUUAAAAAAAAAAUUAAGUAAAAAAACUGAAUUAUGAAAAAAAAUCGAUUAAAAUUUUAAAAAAAUCAACCGGUUAGAUUUGGUUUCGAUUUUAUAAGCUUGAAACCGAAAGAACCGAAUCGAACCCAAACCGAAAAAAUGAGCCAAAACCGAGCCAAAUCGGAAAAAAACCGAGCCAAUCCAAAAAACCAACCCGAAACCGGUCGGUUUGAACCGGUUUUUGUCCAAAAAACCAAACCGAAACCGGUCGGUUUGAACCGGUUUUGGUUCGGUUUAGGUUUUUUUUAAAAAAAUUUAAUUUGAUGACUUUUUUUUUAUAUAAAAACUGAACCGAAUAAAAAAUGAUCAUCCCUAAUAAAAAUACCUGUAAAAAAUUACUUAAUAAUUGAAAUUUCUAAGAAUCUGGAUUUAUUUUUUUUUGAAAAAAAUUAGAUUAUAUUAUUUAUAAUGAAAAAUCUAUUCAUAUUAACAUGGGCAUAACAACUUGAGAGAAAUAUAUUAGGGAAAUGGGUCUCACACAAGAAUAUCAUAGAAACAAUAAAAAAUGUAGAGAACUAGAGGAGAUUCUUAUGAUUAGAUAAAUAAUAGAUUAAAUCAUUUACCCACAAAAUAUAUUUCCUUCUUUUAUUACAAAAUACAAGAAAACCCACCGAAGAGAGGCACUCAAAUGCUCGUAUACUGAUAAUACAAACUUUUUGAUAGAAAAUUUCUAGCAUGGAUACAAACACUGAUUUUUGAGCAAAUCCCCGAGGAGUCUUGACGCGAUCGCACUCUCACCGUCCGAUGCAUUAGACACUUCGUCGAUCUUUCUAAAGGAAAGUCAGAUGAGGAUAAUUUAUUUGGGAUUGUAAUAUGGUUUAAUAUAUUUUUAAUUUAUAAAUAUAUUAAAAUAAUAUUUUUUUUAUUUUUUAAAAAUUACUUUUUAAGAUUAAUACGUCAAAAUAAUAUAAAAAUAUAUAUAAAAAAUAAUUUUUAACAAUUUUUUUUUUAAAUUAAAAAAAACACAAUUUACUCCAAGUUAUUAAACUUAACUUUAUAUUCCUAUAAAAACUGAGUCUAUGCAUUACUCCUUACAAGACCUUGUCAGCUACAAAAUAUCCAGCUAAUUAUUUUUUAAUAUAUAUUUUUACUUAAUAAUAUAUAAUUUUUAUUUUUUAAAAUUUAUUUUUAAAAUCAAUAUAAUACAAAAUUAUAAAAAUAAUUUUUAAAUAAAAAAACCAACACACUCUAAAUAAAUUAAUCCAAAUAAAUUUAAAAUAAAAUUAAUUUUUUUAGAAUUUUAAGUAGGUUAUGAAUUAUUGUAUUGCUCGAACUAGAUCUAGGAUAUUUGAAAGUGUGAUAUUAAUUGUUUUUUAAAGUAUUUUUUACUUAUAAAUGUAUCAAAAUAAUAUAUAUUUUUUAUUUUUUAAAAUUUAUUUUUAAUAUUAAGAAAUUAAAAUAAUUUAAAAAAAUAUAUUUAAAUUUUCAUGAAAAGUAAGUUGAAGUGUUCACGGGGAUACGUAUUUUUCAUCUUGUUUUUUCUUCAAAUCAAUUCAUUAAUAUAUUACUGUACAAACUCGUCUUUUCAUUAAGACAGAAAAAAAAACCCAAACAAAUUCACUCUUUCCAUCCAUCCCUCUUGCUUCCUCUGAAAUUCACCAAAGACAAACCCUAAUCUCCAAAAUCAUCCCAUCCGUCUCCUCCAAUAAAAAAAAUUGAACCUGUGGAACUGAAAAAAGAAAGCAAAAAUGGUGUUGGCGCAGUUAGGAGGGAGCAUAUCCCGAGCAAUCCAGCAAAUGAGCAAUGCAACAAUCAUCGACGAGAAAGCAUUAAACGACUGCUUGAACGAGAUCACUCGCGCGCUUCUUCAAUCCGAUGUCCAAUUCAAGCUUGUUCGCGACAUGCAAACUAAUAUCAAGAAAAUCGUCAAUCUCGACGAUCUCGCUGCCGGUCACAACAAGCGCAGAAUCAUCCAACAAGUAAUUAUCUUUUAUUUUAUUAUUUUUCAAAAAAUAAACACAAUUUUAUUUAACUUUAAAUUUAACGAGUUCAAUAUUUUUAGGCGAUAUUUAACGAGCUCUGCAAGAUUUUGGACCCAGGGAAGUCCUCAUUUACCCCAAAGAAGGGGAAAACUAGUGUUGUUAUGUUUGUAGGUUUACAAGGUAAUUUAUUUUAGAUAAUAAUAAAACUUUCAUUUCAAUUUCUGUGCUCUUGGAUUUAUGAUAUUUAUUUAGAGAAAACAUGUAAUGGAAUUUAAUUGUUUAGGGUCUGGAAAAACGACGACGUGUACAAAAUACGCUUAUUAUCAUCAGAAAAAAGGAUGGAAACCCGCCCUCGUUUGCGCUGAUACGUUUAGAGCUGGUGCAUUUGAUCAGUUAAAGCAGAAUGCAACUAAAGCUAAAAUUCCAUUUUAUGGAAGGUAAGUGAUUUUUAAGUGGAGGAGAAUAAAAAAAUGGGUUUUCUGUAAUGCGAUCAAUUAUUGACUUCUUGUUGUUGAUACAGCUAUACGGAAUCGGAUCCUGUAAAAAUAGCUGAGGAAGGUGUAGAAACAUUUAAGAAGGAAAAUUGUGAUCUUAUAAUUGUUGAUACAAGUGGACGUCAUAAACAGGAAGCUGCACUUUUUGAAGAAAUGCGUCAAGUUUCAGAAGCAACUGUCUGUUAUUCUCUUAUUAGUUGUUUUGCAUGUUAUUGAUUGUUAUUGCACUGAAAUUUGAUCCCGUUUCAUUCCGUGUCUUCCAGAAACCGGAUCUUAUUAUAUUUGUUAUGGAUAGCAGUAUUGGUCAAGCUGCAUUUGAUCAAGCUCAAGCUUUUAAGCAAAUGGUUGCAGUUGGAGCUGUGAUUAUUACUAAAAUGGAUGGUCAUGCAAAGGGUGGUGGUGCGCUUAGUGCGUGAGUAAUCUGGCAGUUGUUCUAGUGUACCAAAACUUCCUCUUGCUUAAGGCAUUUAUAUUGAUUUCUGGUUUACAAACCAUGUGCAGAGUUGCAGCAACUAAGAGUCCUGUCAUUUUUAUUGGUACUGGAGAGCAUAUGGAUGAGUUCGAAGUCUUUGAUGUUAAACCUUUUGUUAGUCGCCUUUUAGGUAUCCACUUCUUUCAGUUUGACACCUUUGCUUUGAUGUUCUACUUUCCUCUGAAAUUUGUAUGAUUGUUUUUGAUGCCCGUAGUGUUCACAUUAUUAUGAUCUUCCAAUUAGGCAUGGGUGACUGGUCUGGAUUCAUGGACAAAAUUCAUGAGGUUGUUCCCAUGGAUCAACAGCCCGAGCUUCUACAAAAGCUGUCAGAAGGGAACUUUACCUUAAGGAUUAUGUAUGAGCAAUUCCAGAAUCUACUAAAAAUGGGUCCCAUUGGUCAGGUUCUCUACUCACUAUUUUGUUUAUUGAAUCUCUGUUAGAGAGUGUUCUACUUCAAGUAUUCAUCUCAAAUGUGUGUGUAUGGUAGGGAAAAAAACAAUAAUUUUGAUCAGAACUUCCUUGUGACUGAUAAUAAGUGUGCUAGUUUAUAGACAGUUGCAUACCUAUUGGCACUGCAUGUGUUUAGAGAAAAUCAACAUCUUUGAAGAGAGUUUCCGUGAUCUUUCGUUAAUUCCUAAACAUGGAUUUUCUAUCUUCUUCUUCUUCUUAGCUUUUUCUUGUUUCAGCAUGCAGAUAGUUGCUAAUUAUCAUGCAAAGCUUUAGUAAAACAUGAGUUUUUUUCUUUCCUCUUGAUGAGGAAUUGAUGGCAUUGGCAGUUGAUACAGAAUGGAAGUACAAGGCAUUUAAUUUGUUUAUUUAGUGAUAGGCUUAGGUGGAAAAACUGUUUAACCUCCCUAAUUUCAUCUGCUUACCAUUCAAAUGAGGAAGAGAGAUGAUAAGUUUCCUGGGAAUAUGGAUCAUUUUUCCUAUGUCAAAUUAAACCUUGAAGUGGCUUCUGAGUGAAUCUGCAAAUACCUUCUGAGUUUUUAUAUGUAUUAAUUUAAGGAAUUUGUAAGUUGGAUACUCGUGAUUGCUUAUCAGAGCUUGUUAGGAUUUUACCUCACACAACAAUUUCAACCGGAAUAAUUAUGGAUGCUUAAUUCAUUUAAUUUUGAAGGAACUGGUGCCGUUAGAGAAACUCAUAGUCAAUAGUAUUGGCUGUUAAUUGGCUCUUAAAUUUCAAAUGAAAAGCGAGAAGUGACAUGAAUAUUUCCUUGCCUAGGAUGGUCCUAAGGGUUACCUGGUCAACUAAUUCAUUGCACCGGAAAAUUCAAAUUUUGUGGAUCACUAAUUACUUAUAAGAAUAAAUGAAAUAAAAUAAAAGGUUAACCUGUGAGCUUGUAGCUUAGUGGUAUUCCUGCACAAGCAGGUAGGGUGAGGUCUCAAGUUUGAGUCCCACCUUUGUAAAUUUAACUUAAAUAAAAAUUGGAAGACACUUUUAAUAAAAGGUUCAUGCAACUGUAAAAUAUGGAUUGUGAUCAGAUACUUUUAUCAUUUUUGACAUUUUUGCGUUACACUCUCCUGCAUUUAGAAUAUGAGAAUUGGAGUAGACUGAAAAGAGAUCUAUCAGAAGUCAAUAAGAUGAACCCACCAUUAAGAAGCGAGCUUUUCCCUUCGUUUGUCUCUGGUCAUCAUGAUGCACAUCAACACCCUCGUAUUUCAUAACAGAUGGUUCUCAAGAUGAUACGAGUUGUACCAGUAUCUAACACAUAUUUUAACAUCAUAGCGAUUCUUAUGGUCAUUUCAAAUAUUUUGCCUAGCUUAGAUACAGGUCCAAUUAAUUUGUUGUCAGCAUAUUUUAACAUCUUGUUUAACAAGAAUACCUUUCGUCAAGAAUACCUCGGAAAGUGAACAAGAUGAAAAAUGACAGAAAUUAUGAGGGAGGACAAUAAUGCCUAUGAGAGAGAAAGGAGAAGAUGAGUGAGGAAGUAUGGCAGACAAGGAGAAGAUAACUGAGAAAGUAUGGUAGACUAAGAUAGCUUACAAUCUGUCACCGAUUAACAUUUUAUAGUUUUUUUGUGAAUUUUCUAUUUGCUGAAAUGUUAUGAAUUUGGUAAAGGAAGUAGUAAACUAUGGCCUCGACUUAGGUAAUGAAAUCUCAAGAGUAUUGAUUUUACUGUUUCCAUCUUGACUGAAUUUUUUAUUUAUUUAUGGUCCCAUCACCUUUCUCCCCCUUCCCUAUUUUGGGUUGUGACUUUCACUUUAAUACUAUUCGGGUCACCUUCUGUAGGUAUUUUCAAUGCUUCCUGGGUUUAGUGCUGAAUUAAUGCCAAAAGGUCAUGAAAAGGAAAGCCAGGCUAAGAUUAAGCGAUACAUGACCAUGAUGGAUUCAAUGACUAAUGAAGGUGAGUGAGUGCUGCUUGACAAAUUGACAUUUAGAGCAUUGCAUUGCCUCAUGGAUAUACAAAACAUACUUUCUUGAAUGAAGUUAUUUGGUACUUUUGCUGAUAUCUAUUUGUCACGGAUGUGAUGCAGAGUUGGAUAGUUCAAAUCCAAAGCUCUUGAAUGACUCACGAAUGAUGAGGAUAGCACGGGGUGCUGGCCGUCCAAUUAGAGAUGUAAUGGAAAUAUUGGAAGAGUACAAGCGACUUGCUAAAGUCUGGAGCAAAAUGAAGGGGCUUAAGAUUCCGAAGAAGGGCGAGAUGAGUUCCCUGUCUAGAAACAUGAAUGCACAGCACAUGAGCAAAGUCCUCCCUCCACAGAUGCUGAAGCAGAUUGUUGGCAUGGGUGGCUUGCAAAACUUAAUGAAGCAAAUGGGAUCAGCAAAAGACAUGAUGGGCAUGUUUGGAGGCGGGGACAAGUAAACGUGUGAUUGCCAACAACUACAUGAAAUGAAUUCCCAUGACAAUAACCUAGGUCUGUCAGGAGGAUGGUAAGCUGCGUGGAGUGUUUAAUAUAUGCAAGUCGAUGCUUCAACAAAACUUUGUGGAUACUUGUUCUUAAAGGAUCAAUGCAUUUGAUUCAAUUCUCAGAUCCCCCCCCCCCCCCCCCCUGCUGGUACAGACUACAGAGGCCGUCUUGUAGCAAUAACUGGAUUUAUCCUUUUUCUUUGGGCACCAAAAAAUGUGAAAAAAAAGGGUUUUAGGUCACGAAGCUGUGAAAAAAAAGUUGGUUUUACGUCAUUAAGUACAAAAAUUACGUAAUUCACCGUUAUAGCAGAAAUGUUGCUGAGAAUAUUGCAUUUGACACUUAAAAUUUGCCUGGGAUCUAUGCACGACUUCUUCGCCAUUAUAUGUUGGUUUAAUCACUAAUGGGGGACUUGGGCUUCUUUCCUGGCCUGUGAACAUGGUCGAAUGCAAUCUGCCAAGACUGAGAAGCAGUGGCUAAAAGUUACGGACGCCAUCUACCUCCGGAUUGCUCGAGACCUUAUAUGUAUCGAGCAAGCGACUGCCCAAAAGAAUUGUUACAAUGGCGGCUCUGUUUUAUUCACGGUCAAUUCUCAAGCAUGUUAUCGACACUUUGCAGUAAAAAAGCUCCUGUACGGAAAAGUAUAAUCUAUUAAUGUUUCUCGGGUCGGCAAUGACCUCUGAGCAAGUCCUCCGAGUCAGUGUCCCCUAGUUAGGUGUAGUUUGACUGUUCUUGGAAAGUGGUCUGGCUUUCUUUACGAAUGGCUUCAAUCAGUCGAAUGUUCCUAAAACUAUACUCGUCGAAAUCAAAGAACUUUGGGCCCAAAAAUUUGAACUUGUUUC
rnacentral:lncRNA from 1 species